GUGUGUUGAAGCGAAAUUUUGCACUCGGUUUCGGCCCGUGUUUUGAGGACCUACCCUCCGCACACU
rnacentral:tRNA from 1 species